CCAGCUGUGGCGCCCCCCGGCUGCCUCUGUUUCCAAGACCGGGGGGCCCUAUAGCAGUCUGCAGGGCCGAUGCAUCUCCACACACUCGGACAAGUCAGAGGCUUCUCUGCCUCUGCAGCUCAGCCCUGGCAGGUUUGCCAUGAGUGGCGAUUUAAACGCUGCCUUGCUGGUGUGAAGCUGUGGAAUUCCCUUGGGCUCCUGAGUGGGAGAGUUGUUUAAAAUUCAUGAUGCUCCUUGAAUUUUAAUUGGGUGUGAGUAACCUGGGGACCUAGUUAAAAUGCCAGUUCUGAUUCAGUGGGUGUGGAUGGGGCCUGAGAUUCUGCAAUUCCAGCCAGCUUCCAGAGGAUGUUUAAUGUGGCAGGUUAGAAACCCAGAGUGAGUUUAGGCUUCAGGCAGUGUAACUGACAUCCUAAACAGCCUCAACUCAGUUAUGGCUCCUGCUAGGGGCUGAAUUAUGUCCCCUCCCCACCCCCACCCCCAAAUUCAUAGGUCAAAGUCCUAAUAGAAUUCAGAGACACAUACAGAGGGAGACCAAGUGAGUGCCCCUGAGGAAGACGCCCGUCUACAAGCCAAGGAGAGAGGCCACAGAGGAAACCAAUCCUGACAUCUUGAUGUUGGAUUUCCGGCCUCCAGAACUGGAGGCAUAAUACAUGGCUGUUGCUUAAGCCACCCAGUCUGUGGUAUUUUGUAGGGCAGCCCUCGAGAAAACACCCGAGCUUGAAAAGCCCAUGUUCCAACAUAACUGUCCUUCACCACUCUGGAAAAUUAAUGGUUUGUUUCGAUUAUCCCUUUGUUAAACUCCAAAGUCAAAGAGCUCUGAAAGGCAUACGGUUAUUUUAAGUUUCAGGUGAUUUCUGUUGCCAAAUAUUUUAAAAAUUUAAAAUUGCUACGUGACCUCUUAGUAGUACUAUUAGAUUUCCUGACAAUAAAAAUAAGUCUUUUGGUUUCACCAUUUAUAGUUAGUACAGCUAAUAUUAAGUAUAAUUUUAAAAGCCUUUUAUUUUCUCAGAAAGAAAAAAUAAUCAAAAUCUGCUCAGUGUGGUAUUGAAUAAUUAAAAACAAAAGAACAGUAUCUUCACAUUAGUGUUUAAUAUUAAUUGCUUUUUUACCCUUGACACUGGUGCUAAUUAAAUUUUCAUUUUAUUUUCCAUGACUUGUUUAAACAGUUUUUGCAAAUUAUUGCUAAUCAGC
rnacentral:lncRNA from 1 species